GACAUAGGUGGCGAACGUUAUCCGGAAUUAUUGGGCGUAAAGGAUGCGUAGAUGGUAGAGUAAGUUACUGGUUGAUGCCAAACUCAAUUUGACGGAAGCUGGUAAUACUGUUUUGCUAGAGGACAGGAGAGGUUGAUGGAAUUCUGUGUGGAGCGGUGAAAUGCGUUGAUCUACAGAGGAACACCAAAAAAGGCGAAGGCAGUUAACUAUCCUGUUCCUGACAUUGAGGCAUGAAAGCGUGGGGAGCAAACCGG
rnacentral:rRNA from 1 species